rnacentral:rRNA from 1 species
UGGGGAAUAUUGCACAAUGGGCGCAAGCCUGAUGCAGCCAUGCCGCGUGUAUGAAGAAGGCCUUCGGGUUGUAAAGUACUUUCAGCGGGGAGGAAGGCGAUAAGGUUAAUAACCUUGUCGAUUGACGUUACCCGCAGAAGAAGCACCGGCUAACUCCGUGCCAGCAGCCGCGGUAAUACGGAGGGUGCAAGCGUUAAUCGGAAUUACUGGGCGUAAAGCGCACGCAGGCGGUCUGUCAAGUCGGAUGUGAAAUCCCCGGGCUGAACCUGGGAACUGCAUUCGAAACUGGCAGGCUAGAGUCUUGUAGAGGGGGGUAGAAUUCCAGGUGUAGCGGUGAAAUGCGUAGAGAUCUGGAGGAAUACCGGUGGCGAAGGCGGCCCCCUGGACAAAGACUGACGCUCAGGUGCGAAAGCGUGGGGAGCAAACA